GCAUCGGGAAGAGGGAAAAGGAGCAAUCCGCUUUGAGAUGGCCUCGCGUCCGAUUAGCUAGUUGGUGAGGUAACGGCCCACCAAGGCAACGAUCGGUAGCCGGACUGAGAGGUUGAACGGCCACAUUGGGACUGAGACACGGCCCAGACUCCUACGGGAGGCAGCAGUGGGGAAUAUUGCACAAUGGGGGAAACCCUGAUGCAGCGACGCCGCGUGGAGGAAGAAGGUCUUCGGAUUGUAAACUCCUGUUGUUGAGGAAGAUAAUGACGGUACUCAACAAGGAAGUGACGGCUAACUACGUGCCAGCAGCCGCGGUAAAACGUAGGUCACAAGCGUUGUCCGGAAUUACUGGGUGUAAAGGGAGCGCAGGCGGGAAGACGAGUUGGAAGUGAAAUCCAUGGGCUCAACCCAUGAACUGCUUUCAAAACUGUUUUUCUUGAGUAGUGCAGAGGUAGGCGGAAUUCCCGGUGUAGCGGUGGAAUGCGUAGAUAUCGGGAGGAACACCAGUGGCGAAGGCGGCCUACUGGGCACCAACUGACGCUGAGGCUCGAAAGUGUGGGUAGCAAACAGGAUUAGAUACCCUGGUAGUCCACACCGUAAACGAUGAUUACUAGGUGUUGGAGGAUUGACCCCUUCAGUGCCG
rnacentral:rRNA from 1 species